GCAGCGGCGUCUCUGCUGCGCACUACGGCGUCGUGAUCCUGACCGCGGUGGCCGCCGGCAGCGCCUCGCUGCGGCAGAUCGCGUUGCACGUCGUGCCGGGCACCGGAAGCUAUGGCUCGGCGCUGUUCGGCAUGCACUUCUACACGUGGGCCUUUGUCGGUUACGGUGCGCUGAUCGUGUACGUCGGCGUGAUGCUGCUGGCCAGUGCGACCGGCCGAUCGGCACUCCCCGCGCGCCUAAGCGGACUCGAACGCGGCGCAUUCGCGCUGUUCGUCGCGCUGGCGGCGGCAAACGCCGUCUCGUUCCUGCUCGAAUGCGGCCUCGGUCCGUGCCCGGACGAUCCGGCCGGCUACCUGCUCCUCCCCGGUGCGCGAUAGCAGCGGCUUCGCAGCUGGCCGCUCGCGCGGCGCUCAGGCGCGGCGCGCGAGCUCGGCGGCCUUGCCGAUGUAGGUUGCCGGCGUCAGUGCCAGCAGUUCGUCGCGUGCCGCCGCCGGGAUGUCGAGGGCGCGCACGAACUCCUGCAGUGCCUCGCGCGUGAUGCCCUUGCCGCGCGUCAGCGCCUUCAGCUGCUCGUAGGGAUUCGGAACGCCGUAGCGGCGCAUUACGGUCUGCACCGGCUCGGCCAGCACCUCCCACGCGUCGUCAAGGUCCGCGCGCAGCCGUUCCUCGUUGACUUCGAGCUUGCGCAGGCCGCGCAGGCAGGACUCGAUGCCGACCAGCGUGUAACCGAAAGCCACACCGACAUUGCGCAGCACGGUGGAGUCCGUCAAAUCGCGUUGCCAGCGCGAUACCGGCAGUUUUUCCGCGAGGUGGCGCAGCACGGCAUUAGCCAGCC
rnacentral:misc_RNA from 1 species